rnacentral:lncRNA from 1 species
GGACGUCCUCCAUGUCAUCGAUGAACUUCUCAGCGACCAGGUCGGAGAACAGCGUCAUGUUGCGCACCUGCUGUGGCUUGUCGCAGGCGAUGGAGUAGAGGUCAUCGUCCCGAGGGUCGUGGCGCCCGUCCGUGAUGACCACCGCAAACACACGUGUCUUCUGGCGCCGGCUCUCCUUGAUGAGGCGGUCGUAGGCAAAC